CCUACGGGGUGCACCAGUGGGGAAUAUUGGACAAUGGGGGAAACCCUGAUCCAGCAAUGCCGCGUGAGUGAAGAAGGCCCUAGGGUUGUAAAACUCUUUCACUGAUGAAGAUGAUGACGGUAAUCAGAGAAGAAGCCCCGGCUAACUCCGUGCCAGCAGCCGCGGUAAUACGGAGGGGGCUAGCGUUGUUCGGAUUUACUGGGCGUAAAGCGCACGUAGGCGGCAUAUCAAGUCAGAGGUGAAAGGCCUGGGCUCAACCUAGGAACGGCCUUUGAUACUGGUAUGCUUGAGUUCGGAAGAGGGUAGUGGAAUUCCAAGUGUAGAGGUGAAAUUCGUAGAUAUUUGGAAGAACACCAGUGGCGAAGGCGGCUACCUGGUCCGAUACUGACGCUGAGGUGCGAAAGCGUGGGGAGCGAACAGGAUUAGAUACCCUUGUAGUC
rnacentral:rRNA from 1 species